GACGAACGCUGGCGGCGUGCCUAAUACAUGCAAGUAGAACGCACAGUUUAUACCGUAGCUUGCUACACCAUAGACUGUGAGUUGCGAACGGGUGAGUAACGCGUAGGUAACCUGCCUGGUAGCGGGGGAUAACUAUUGGAAACGAUAGCUAAUACCGCAUAAUAUUAAUUAUUGCAUGAUAAUUAAUUGAAAUGUGCAAUUGCACCACUACCAGAUGGACCUGCGUUGUAUUAGCUAGUAGGUGAGGUAACGGCUCACCUAGGCGACGAUACAUAGCCGACCUGGGAGGGUGAUCGGCCACACUGGGACCGAGACACGGCCCAGACUCCUACGGGGAGCAGCAGUAGGGAAUCUUCGGCAAUGGACGAAAGUCUGACCGGGCCACGCCGCGUGAGGGAAGAAGGGUUUCGGAUCGUAAAGCUCUGUUGUAAGAGAAGAACGGGUGUGAGAGUGGAAAGUUCACACUGUGACGGUAUCUUACCAGAAAGGGACGGCUAACUACGUG
rnacentral:rRNA from 1 species